ACUCCUACGGGAGGCAGCAGUGGGGAAUCUUGCGCAAUGGGCGAAAGCCUGACGCAGCCAUGCCGCGUGAAUGAUGAAGGUCUUAGGAUUGUAAAAUUCUUUCACCGGGGACGAUAAUGACGGUACCCGGAGAAGAAGCCCCGGCUAACUUCGUGCCAGCAGCCGCGGUAAUACGAAGGGGGCUAGCGUUGCUCGGAAUUACUGGGGCGUAAAGGGAGCGUAGGCGGACUGUUUAGUCAGAGGUGAAAGCCCAGGGCUCAACCUUGGAAUUGCCUUUGAUACUGGCAGUCUUGAGUACGGAAGAGGUAUGUGGAACUCCGAGUGUAGAGGUGAAAUUCGUAGAUAUUCGGAAGAACACCAGUGGCGAAGGCGACAUACUGGUCCGUUACUGACGCUGAGGCUCGAAAGCGUGGGGAGCAAACAGGAUUAGAUACCCUGGUAGGAUAGCG
rnacentral:rRNA from 1 species